UUGGAAGGAGGGUAGUAGAAUGCAUAUGGAUGGUGGUUUCCAGAGUUGUGAAUCUGUGAUAUUGUAAUUUAUAAUGUGUAUUUGGUCAUUCAGAUGACCAAAAUUUGUUUCUCAGAUAUAUUUGGUCUUCAUCCACAGUUCCUGACUUACAUUCCCCAAAACCUUGUCCUACCUGUUGAAAGUGAAAAAGGUAUCAUUUGUUGUGUUAAUGAGGUGAUGUUGCAUCUCUGGAAUGAGGCUGGCUGCCUGGAGAACCAACCUGGUGAUUAGAGGGUAGGAAUUUUUAGUUCCACCUCCUGACCCCUGGGGAGGAAAAAGGAGCUGGAUGUUGAAUCAAUAGCCAAUGGCCAAGGAUUUCACCAAUCACACCUUUGUAAUGAAGCCUCCUAAAAAGCCCGAAAGGACAGGGUUCAGAGAUCUUCUGGGUUGGUGAACAAACCCAUGGAGGUGUGGGUGAGUUUACUCCAGGAGAGGCCCUGGAAGCCCCACCCUUUCCCUCACAUCUUGCCCUAUGCAUCUCUUCCAUCUGGCUGUUUCUUAGUUAUUUCCUGAGUAUUCUUUCCUCAGUGCUGAAUACUAAUUUGAAGGGAUAUCUUUGGUUCUUUGCAGAGAAUGGAGGCUGCAGUAUCAACCCCUAGAGAUUUCCAGCCAACUUGGGCCCCUGCAUGGUGCUCCUUCAUCUGGUUUAGUCUGCAGUUGCCAAGGGAGUGAUGGGAGAAUUUCUUAAAGAGGCUUCCAUUCAACCCUGCUCAUUUGCUGGGUUGGUUAUGUCUACAUAAUGGAGAAGAUGAGUCCUGACAGCAGCAGAUUUACAUAGUCCUGCAUGACUUCUAGACAGAUGAAGCCCUGUCUUUGACAGCUCUUACUGUUUCCAAAACAUAAGGAGGCUGAGCAGAC